rnacentral:rRNA from 1 species
GACGAACGCUGGCGGCGUGCUUAACACAUGCAAGUCGAACGGAAAGGCCCUGCUUUUGUGGGGUGCUCGAGUGGCGAACGGGUGAGUAGCACGUGAGUAACCUGCCCUUGACUUUGGGAUAACUUCAGGAAACUGGGGCUAAUACCGGAUAGGAGCUCCUGCUGCAUGGUGGGGGUUGGAAAGUUUCGGCGGUUGGGGAUGGACUCGCGGCUUAUCAGCUUGUUGGUGGGGUAGUGGCUUACCAAGGCUUUGACGGGUAGCCGGCCUGAGAGGGUGACCGGCCACAUUGGGACUGAGAUACGGCCCAGACUCCUACGGGAGGCAGCAGUGGGGAAUAUUGCACAAUGGGCGGAAGCCUGAUGCAGCAACGCCGCGUGCUGGAUGACGGCCUUCGGGUUGUAAACCGCUUUCGCCUGUGACGAAGCGUGAGUGACGGUAAUGGGUAAAGAAGCACCGGCUAACUACGUG